CCUACGGGAGGCAGCAGUGGGGAAUAUUGGACAAUGGGGGCAACCCUGAUCCAGCCAUGCCGCGUGUGUGAAGAAGGCCCUCGGGUUGUAAAGCACUUUCAGUGAGGAAGAACGCCUGGUGGUUAAUACCCAUCAAGAAAGACAUCACUCACAGAAGAAGCACCGGCUAACUCCGUGCCAGCAGCCGCGGUAAUACGGAGGGUGCGAGCGUUAAUCGGAAUUACUGGGCGUAAAGCGCGCGUAGGUGGCUUGAUAAGCCGGUUGUGAAAGCCCCGGGCUCAACCUGGGAACGGCAUCCGGAACUGUCAAGCUAGAGUGCAGGAGAGGAAGGUAGAAUUCCCGGUGUAGCGGUGAAAUGCGUAGAGAUCGGGAGGAAUACCAGUGGCGAAGGCGGCCUUCUGGACUGACACUGACACUGAGGUGCGAAAGCGUGGGUAGCAAACAGGAUUAGAUACCCCAGUAGUC
rnacentral:rRNA from 1 species